UACAGAGGUCCCGAGCGUUGUUCGGAUUUAUUGGGCGUAAAGGGUGCGUAGGCGGCGGAGUAAGUUGGGUGUGAAAUCCCGGGGCUUAACCUCGGAAUUGCAUUCAAUACUGCUUCGCUCGAGUACUGGAGAGGAGGCUGGAAUUUACGGUGUAGCAGUGAAAUGCGUAGAUAUCGUAAGGAAGGCCGGUGGCGAAAGCGAGCCUCUGGACAGUUACUGACGCUGAUGCACGAAGGCCAGAGGAGCAAACGGG
rnacentral:rRNA from 1 species